CAAGCACGCACUCCAGAGACUGGAUUGUCAUCCCAAUCUUUCCUACAAACCAUGAUGUAACAUUGGGCAAAAUGAGCAUGAUUUUCCUUAUCUACAAAAUGGAGAGGAGAGGAGGUCUCUUUUAGCUCUGCAAAUCCGAGCCUCUGUCUCCUCCUUUCCUUGACUUCUUCUAGCUCCUGUGUCCUCAGCCCUCCCAACUUGUAGCUAAGCCCUGGCUUUGUAUUAACCACCCUCCUUCUGUCAGCAUCACUGAGAGGCAUAGCCAAGGCCUGCCCUCUUCCUCCUCAAUGGCUCCAAAAUGCUGCUUGCACUGUCCCAUGCCACUCUGAUCCUAAGCAGCCAAGUGGGCAGGCUGACACUCCUUUGGGCAUGGAAGUGAACAUCAGCCAUGAGUAGGGAGAGGAAACUGCCCACAGAGAGGGCAGACUCCAUCAGGGGCAAGUGACAAAGCCACAGACUGACAUGAAGAGGCUUCCCAGGCCCUCUGGAAGGGAGCGAAGCCAGCAGCCUGGCUCCUGGGAUGGGCUGUCCGCUAUUCAGCAGCUCCAUGGGCCUGGAAGUGAGCCCAGGGAGCCAGCCAGAAGGAGGCUGUGGCCAGAGGCUUGAUUUGCAGCCUGGGACUAGGAUGCAGGGAGCUGGGUUCUCAUCCAGGCUUCACCCAUAGCAAAUGUGUGACUCUCCCUGGCCCUCUGGGCAGGGACUAUAACUACCUUGCUUACCCCAGUUGCUGGAGGCCAAUAUUCACUGAGCAUUCAUCAUGAGUCAGGCAUUCAGUAAUCCUCACAAUGGCCCUAGAAAUUAGCCUCUACUAUUUUCACGCUUUAGGGAGGAGGUGACACAUAGAACAUCUAAGUAACUUGCCUAACACUCCAUAGCUUAUAAGUGGCAGGGCCAGGAUCUUAGCCCUAAAUCAUACAUUGGAAAUGUAUUAUCAUUGAGGUCCCUCAGCAAUCUUGUGAUGCAGGUAUUACCAUCCAUUUUACAAACACGGCAAUGGCUCAGAAGUCUUCAGUUAUUUGCCUAGGGUCACUUGGCUGACUGUAGCAGAAUCAGGAUUUGAACCCAGGCCCGACUUCAAAGCCAGUCCUCUUCUCAUUGGGUUGCACCCCCAGCAUCAGCACAGGGACAGUUCCUCAGGCUGACUGGCCAAGGCCCCAUCUGUGAAAACAGGAUAGGAAACGGCAGCCUAACUCUAGGCAGGGCGCAGGCUCAGCGAGGGGGUCUACAGGGCUGAAGAGGCAGCUGGCCAGAGAUCCACAGGAAGCAUUUUGUUGACACAUCUUCAUCACUCUGGAAUUUGAGCAACAACAUUUACCCCUUCUGAAACUCACCCAGAGGAAGUGGAUUUUCUGACGCAGAUGAAGAGUGAGAACUGUCUCCAUUUAAGUCUUCUUUGAGAACAAUACCAGCUGAGCGGCUCUUUACAUUCCGGCUUCUUUUGAGAAUCUCUGAAGAUGAUUAAGUCAUUGUCAGCUGGCCCGGAACCAUAUCCUGCUCCACAAGCUUCAUCCUUGGCAAGGAGUUGCACCUGCCCAGAGAGAAAACCUUUUGAAACUGGCACAAAGGCACUGGAGAGACUGGCAAGGCCCCCACUUGACGAUCUGGCUCAUCCAUCUGCACACUGACCAUGCUAAGAGCUGUCUGCAGUGUUGGAAAACUUCUCUAGCUGUGCUGUCCUCUAUAGUGGCACUAGCUGCCUGUGGCUUCUGAGCACUUAAACUGUGGCUGCAGAGACUAUGUUAAAUUGUAUUUAAUCAUAAUUAAUUUAAUUUUAGUUUCUGUACUGGGCAGGGCAGGUGCACAUUUCCUACCUGGCCACGGACAGUAAGCUCCAUAAGAGGCUGAUUGUGCCUGGUUUGCUUCUAGGCUUAUCCUCAGCACCUGCACCAGUCUAGAAUAUGAUUGGCACUCUAUUAAUUAAAAGUUCCCAGGUAAAUGAA